AGUGGGUCUGGUUUUAUGUUGAGGUCUUUAAUCCACUUGUACUUUAGUUUUGUGCAGAACGAUAAGUAUGGAUCUAUGGCUACUCGGGAGGCUGAGACAGGAGGAUCACUUGAGUCCAGGAGUUCUGGGUGUGUACUAUCCUGAUAUGGUGAUCUCCUGGGAGCAGGGGACCACCAGGUUGCCUAAGGAGGGAUGAACUGGCCCAGGGUGAAAACAAAGCAGGUCAAAACUCCCAUGUUGACCAGCAGCAUUUAAAACUAGUUUUCUCCCACUAGAAAAUAACAUCAGGUUAUUAUUGGUUUCACAAAACUUC
rnacentral:SRP_RNA from 1 species